CCACUGUCCUUUGGAAAGAAUAGGAUACAGUUCAGUUAGCCACAGAAAAUCUACAUCCCAUGGAUCUUCUUUGAGGGUGUCUUAAUCUGGAUACUGUUAUUUAAUCUAGGUAUCUUAAAUAUAUGGAAGGGUUUGAUAAUUUCUGCAAAUAUCAUGCAGGUAUCAUUUUAGCUGUGACAAUCUUUCCUGAAUAAAAGAAGAGAUAAUUCCUAUUUUAAGUGCUCCCUUAGUGCCUGCUCUUUAAUUACCCUGCACUUUGUUCCAGGAAGAAAAUCUUUAGAUGAAUGGAUGGAUGGAUUUUCACAAACACCUCACAAGUUAGCAACUAAAUUAGUCAUCUUCAAGACCAGAAAAAUUGUUCACCCUUGCAUUGAAGCCGUUGCAUUAAAAAAAAAAACCCUAGAUCCUGUGACUUAUUUUCUUCAACAUAAACAGAUCUAAAUACCCAUGCUGUCCAAGGAAUAUCCUACUUUACUUGAGAGCCACUCAAUAAGGGCAAGGUUAAUGCUUCAAUAUCCUUUAAACUUUCUUGUGUGCAUUCAUAUGAAGAUAUUUCUCCAUAAUCAUACCCAGGAAAAAAAUGCAGGAUAGAUCUAUCACCUUCCUACGAACCCACAAUCAAGAUGGAGCACAAUGGUUCAGCAGAUAAAAGAUGCUGAGCUUGUGAGCUAGAAAGCUGACAACUUGGGUUCGAGACCUACCGCACAAUGGAAACUCCUAGAUUUCAUCUGUCUGAAGAACCUGUGGUGAUCUGAGGCAAUGGAGGUAUUCAGCUGGUUCUAUCUGGUUUGGGCGAACAGGUAUCAGCGGCUGUGGGAGGCUCUGCCCAUCAUCCGGACAUCCCGUUUUUGACACUCUGCUCAUGUGUGGAAGGCUCUGCACAUGUGCAGAGGUGGACACUCACAUUUGCUAACCAGUAGCGAAGGUAAGUGAAUACCACCCCUGAUCUGAGGUUCCCUCCUUGUCCAUAGAUUGAUUAUGGGGAGCCAUUUUACUCUCCAGCUCUUCAUUCUUCUGUGGUCAUCAACUCUGUUUUUAGAGGAGCCAUCUUCAAUUUCUUCUUUGGAAGUCCAUUCCUGAAUAAAUGAAUUAUAUGGGGAAUUAACCCACUAAAUGUGAAGUCUUAACAAGUAUUACAACACUUGAAAGCAAUCUAUAUAAAAAUGUAAAUGUCCGUUUGUACAUAACCGCACAUCUCCGAAAGUUCUUCACCGAUUGCUUUCAAAUUUUGACACAACGUUGCAUUCGACUACAGGCAUGUUUUUAUAUACCUAUAUUAUAUAUAUGUCACACGUGUGACAGGUGAAAACAUGAAAAACAUUGGAAAACAUUGAAAGACAUUGACAAACAUUGACAAACAUUGAAAAACAGAGCCAUCUGCUGGACGUAAAACCAACAUGGCAGCCUCCCAGCCCUGAUUACGCUCAACAGAUUUCUGCUCCUUAUAUUUAGACUCUCCAUAUUGCUUCCAAGAAACUGCGCAUUUGGAAGGCAGAGACGCCCGAGGGCCAUAUCCUGCCACCAGGCUCGGCAGGUAGGCAGCUGGCUCCCCACUGGGAAGCCCUCGCAGCCAGCGCUUCUAGGGCUGGGCGGGGCCCACCCAAGCCUGGCUCUGACCUUCCCCUCUCCCAGCCACCCUGCGAACUAGCCUCACCUGCCGCUGCUGCCCAUCCCCCUCGCCAGCCGCUCUCGGGACUCCCUCCAAAGAACACCUGGCAAUGAGGCUGCCUGGGUCCACCAAGCAGGAACCCUCCGUCCCUCGCCUGGCCCGAAUUGUGCCUGGCCCAGUGCUACCACGGGCCCCGAGGUCAGAAAGACCAGCCGCUAACUGGCGCUAUGCGAAUCCGGUCAGUGAGCGGGAGAUGGAGGCAACUGGAGCCUCAGGGUUGCCUUUGACCAGCGCUGCCUUUGAUUCCCAGGUGGGCGCUCUGGCAGUUCACGGAGCCUACAUGAAAAUUUCAGCCUCUGGCAGA